rnacentral:tRNA from 1 species
UUGAUAGAAGCCAAAAAAGAGGCUUAUUACUGUUAAUGAUAAAACUGAAAUUAUUUCCUAUCAAA